rnacentral:rRNA from 1 species
UACGUAGGGGGGCUAGCGUUGUCCGGAAUCAUUGGGCGUAAAGAGCGUGUAGGCGGCCCGGUAAGUCCGCUGUAAAAGUCAAAGGCUCAACCGUUUGAAUGCAGUGGAUACUGCCGGGCUAGAGUCCGGAAGAGGCGGAGUGGAACUCCUGGUGUAGCGGUGGAAUGCGCAGAUAUCAGGAAGAACACCAACGGCGAAGGCAGCUCGCUGGGACGGUACUGACGCUGGAGACGGCGAAAGCGUGGGGAGCGAACAGG